AUGAAGAUGAAGAUUGGUAAGGCCCCAGUGCUCCUGAAGAAGGCGGCGGCUAUCUGCAAAGGCAAGACUGGCGUCAUCAUGGCCAGGCUCCUCGACCUCGCCUCGACCCACGGCAGGAUGGCCACGAUCGGGGCCAUCUCUCACAGGGUCCACACCCUCAUUGUGGCCAGUCAGGAGAAGGGUGCCAAGGUGGACCACCACAAGACUUUGGUCCGCAAGAUCGAGAGGCAGAGAUGCCAUGGGAUGGUUGAUGGUCUGUGUCACCAUUUAGCACUGUUUGAUCAAGAUGACGGUGUUGGUGGCUGUCCUAACUGGACACUGCACCCCAUCUUCAGCGACGAUGACAAUCGUUAUUACAGUGAUGAGUCCGAGGAUAAUGAUGGAGUUGAGGCCUCGGUGAUGGAUGCUAUGAGGAGCAAUGAGGAGGCUGAGGAGCUGGCAUUCAACAUGGACAACGAUAUCGACCAGGCUGCCGAAAUGUUCAUCAGAAGGUUCCGUGAGCAGAUGAACAAGAGCUUUUCAUGA
rnacentral:rRNA from 1 species